GAAAGUAAAGAAGGGCGUAUGGCGGAUGCCUAGGCUCUCGGAGGCGAAGAAGGACGUGAUAAGCUGCGAUAAGCUGCGGCGAGGAGCAAAUAUCCUGCGACCCGCAGAUCUCCGAAUGGGGCAACCCGGCAGGACCACCUGUCAUCCCGGGAAACGGGAAGCAAACGUGGGGAACUGAAACAUCUCAUUACCCACAGGAAAAGAAAAUAACAAUGAUUCCGUCAGUAGUGGCGAGCGAAAGCGGAAGAGCCCAAACCGGUUCUGUUUCGGCAGAGCCGGGGUAGAAGGACUGCAUAGGACAAAGGAGCAGGUAGCCGAACGGUCUGGAAAGGCCGGUCAAAGACGGUGAUAACCCGGUAGGCGAAACCAGCGACAGCGACAGCAGUAUCCUGAGUAGUGCGGGACACGAGAAAUCCUGUAUGAAUCCGCGGGGACCAUCCCGUAAGGCUAAAUACUCCCGAGAGACCGAUAGCGAACCAGUACUGUGAAGGAAAGGUGAAAAGAACCUCGAACAGAGGAGUGAAAAAGACCCUGAAACCAUACGCCUACAAGCGGUCGGAGCCCCUACGUGGGGUGACGGCGUGCCUUUUGCAUAAUGAACCUACGAGUUACUUUUGCCAGCCAGGUUAAUCGAUUCAGUCGAGGAGCCGAAGCGAAAGCGAGUCUUAAUAGGGCGUUAUAAGUUGGCAGGAGUAGACGCGAAACCAAGUGAUCUACCCAUGAGCAGGUUGAAGGUUAGGUAACACUAACUGGAGGACCGCACCGGUAAACGUUGAAAAGUUUUCGGAUGACUUGUGGGUAGGGGUGAAAGGCUAAUCAAACUUGGAGAUAGCUCGUACUCCCCGAAAUGCAUUUAGGUGCAGCCUUCUGACUAUAUUUAAGAGGUAGAGCGACUGAUAAGAUGCGAGGGCUUCACCGCCUAUCAAGUCUUGAUAAACUCCGAAUGCUUAAAUAAGAAUCAGAGGAGUGAGGGCAUGGGUGCUAAGGUCCAUGUCCGAGAGGGAAAUAACCCAGACCACCGGCUAAGGUCCCGAAAUAACGGCUAAGUUGAAUUAACGAAGUAGAAUUGCAAAGACAGCUAGGAUGUUGGCUUGGAAGCAGCCAUUCAUUUAAAGAGUGCGUAACAGCUCACUAGUCGAGGAGUUCUGCGUGGAUAAUAAUCGGGCAUAAGCCGUUUACCGAAGCUGUGGAAUCGGCAACGAUUGGUAGGGGAGCAUUCCAUGAGCCGCAGAAGGUUUUCCUUGAGGAAUGCUGGAGGUGAUGGAAAAGCAAAUGUAGGUAUAAGUAACGAUAAAGAGGGCGAGAACCCCUCUCGCCGAAAGACCAAGGGUUCCUGAUCAACGCUAAUCGGAUCAGGGUAAGUCGGGCCCUAAGGCGCAGCCGAACGGCGCAGCCGAUGGCAGAAACGGUUAAUAUUCCGUUACUAUGAUACGGAGUGACGAGGAGACGGAGAAGUGACACUCUCGCCUGCUGACGGAAUAGCAGGUUGAACGGUGUAGAUAAUGACAUGGUAGGCAAAUCCGCCGUGACAGUCGAACCGGAUAGUACUGGGCGCCCCCGGGCAACCAGAUAGUAGAGGUAAUCAGGCUCCCGAGAAAAUCCCCUAAACAUAUGCGUAUCAUACCCGUACCCUAAACGGACACACGUGGUUGAGUAGAAAAUACUAAGGCGCUCGAGCGACUCACGGUUAAGGAACUAGGCAAAUUGACCCUGUAACUUCGGGACAAAGGGUCCCUCCCUCCGGGGAGGGCGCAGAGAAUAGGUCCAGGCAACUGUUUAACAAAAACACAGGGCUGUGCGAAAUUGAAAGAUGAAGUAUACAGCCUGACACCUGCCCGGUGCUGGAAGGUUAAGAGGAGAUGUCAUCGCAAGAGAAGCGUUGAAUUGAAGCCCCAGUAAACGGCGGCCGUAACUAUAACGGUCCUAAGGUAGCGAAAUUCCUUGUCGGGUAAGUUCC
rnacentral:rRNA from 1 species